AUCCAGAUGACAGGUCCCAAGUAGGACGAAAUGCGCAUCCUGGAU
rfam:Trichobilharzia regenti genome assembly, scaffold: TRE_scaffold0003460